rnacentral:rRNA from 1 species
AUUGAACGCUGGCGGCAUGCCUUACACAUGCAAGUCGAACGGUAACAGGUCUUCGGAUGCUGACGAGUGGCGAACGGGUGAGUAAUACAUCGGAACGUGCCUAGUAGUGGGGGAUAACUACUCGAAAGAGUGGCUAAUACCGCAUGAGAUCUACGGAUGAAAGCAGGGGAUCGCAAGACCUUGUGCUACUAGAGCGGCCGAUGGCAGAUUAGGUAGUUGGUGGGAUAAAAGCUUACCAAGCCGACGAUCUGUAGCUGGUCUGAGAGGACGAUCAGCCACACUGGGACUGAGACACGGCCCAGACUCCUACGGGAGGCAGCAGUGGGGAAUUUUGGACAAUGGGCGCAAGCCUGAUCCAGCAAUGCCGCGUGCAGGAUGAAGGCCUUCGGGUUGUAAACUGCUUUUGUACGGAACGAAAAGCCCCGGGUUAAUACCCUGGGGUCAUGACGGUACCGUAAGAAUAAGCACCGGCUAACUCUGUGCCAGCCGCCGCAGUAA